rnacentral:rRNA from 1 species
UACGAAGGGGGCUAGCGUUGCUCGGAAUCACUGGGCGUAAAGGGUGCGUAGGCGGGUCUUUAAGUCAGGGGUGAAAUCCUGGAGCUCAACUCCAGAACUGCCUUUGAUACUGAAGAUCUUGAGUUCGGGAGAGGUGAGUGGAACUGCGAGUGUAGAGGUGAAAUUCGUAGAUAUUCGCAAGAACACCAGUGGCGAAGGCGGCUCACUGGCCCGGACUAGUGACGCUGAUGCGCGAAAGCGUGGGGAGCAAACGGG